rnacentral:misc_RNA from 1 species
AACGCAUCUUGCGCUCCUUGGUAUUCCAGGGAGCAUGCCUGUUUGAGUGUCAUGAAAUUCUCAACUUUGUGAACUUUUGACGUUUUACAAUGCUUGGAAUGUGGAGUAUGCUGUGCAAUCAAUUUGUAUAGCUACUCUAGAAUGCAUUAGCAAUUCUUUUUGUAGCGCUUUAGAAAGCGAGACUACUUGGCUUGAUAACUAUCUGCUACUGGUCUUUCUUUGCGUUCUGCUCAAAGUUUGCUUCGAAUCCUGUCAUUCUGACAAUUAUCUGUUUCGACCUCAAAUCAGGUAGGAUUACCCGCUGAACUUAA